AUUGAACGCUGGCGGCAUGCCUUACACAUGCAAGUCGAACGGCAGCACGGACUUCGGUCUGGUGGCGAGUGGCGAACGGGUGAGUAAUGUAUCGGAACGUACCUUUCAGUGGGGAUAACGUAGCGAAAGUUACGCUAAUACCGCAUAUUCUGUGAGCAGGAAAGCAGGGGAUCGCAAGACCUUGCGCUGAUUGAGCGGCCGAUAUCAGAUUAGCUAGUUGGUGAGGUAAAGGCUCACCAAGGCGACGAUCUGUAGCGGGUCUGAGAGGAUGAUCCGCCACACUGGAACUGAGACACGGUCCAGACUCCUACGGGAGGCAGCAGUGGGGAAUUUUGGACAAUGGGGGCAACCCUGAUCCAGCCAUGCCGCGUGAGUGAAGAAGG
rnacentral:rRNA from 1 species